UGCGUAGGCGGGCUAAUAAGUCAGUGGUGAAAUCUUCCGGCUCAACCGGGAAACUGCCAUUGAUACUGUUAGCCUUGAGUUAGGUUGGGGUAGGCGGAAUGUGUAAUGUAGCGGUGAAAUGCUUAGAUAUUACACAGAACACCAAUUGCGUAGGCAGCUUACUGGACCUACACUGACGCUGAGGCACGAAAGCGUGGGGAGCGAACAGGAUUAGAUACCCUGGUAGUCC
rnacentral:rRNA from 1 species